rnacentral:rRNA from 1 species
CAAGUCGAGCGAAGCACUUUACUUUGAGAUCUUCGGAAGGAAAAGUUUUGUGACUGAGCGGCGGACGGGUGAGUAACGCGUGGGUAACCUGCCCCAUACAGGGGGAUAACAGUUAGAAAUGACUGCUAAUACCGCAUAAGACCACAGCACCGCAUGGUGCAGGGGUAAAAACUCCGGUGGUAUGGGAUGGACCCGCGUCUGAUUAGGUAGUUGGUGAGGUAACGGCCCACCAAGCCGACGAUCAGUAGCCGACCUGAGAGGGUGACCGGCCACAUUGGGACUGAGACACGGCCCAAACUCCUACGGGAGGCAGCAGUGGGGAAUAUUGCACAAUGGGGGAAACCCUGAUGCAGCGACGCCGCGUGAGCGAAGAAGUAUUUCGGUAUGUAAAGCUCUAUCAGCAGGGAAGAAACUGACGGUACCUGACUAAGAAGCACCGGCUAAAUACGUGCCAGCAGCCGCGGUAAUACGUAUGGUGCAAGCGUUAUCCGGAUUUACUGGGUGUAAAGGGAGCGUAGACGGAUGGGCAAGUCUGAAGUGAAAGCCCGGGGCUCAACCCCGGGACUGCUUUGGAAACUGUUCAUCUGGAGUGCUGGAGAGGUAAGUGGAAUUCCUAGUGUAGCGGUGAAAUGCGUAGAUAUUAGGAGGAACACCAGUGGCGAAGGCGGCUUACUGGACAGUAACUGACGUUGAGGCUCGAAAGCGUGGGGAGCAAACA